rnacentral:rRNA from 1 species
UACGGAGGGUGCGAGCGUUGUCCGGAAUCACUGGGCGUAAAGGGCGCGUAGGCGGCCUGAUAAGUAGGGGGUGAAAUCAUGCGGCUUAACCGCAGGGCUGCCUUCUAAACUGUCAGGCUAGAGCACAGUAGAGGCAGGUGGAAUUCCCGGUGUAGCGGUGGAAUGCGUAGAGAUCGGGAAGAACAUCAGUGGCGAAGGCGGCCUGCUGGGCUGUUGCUGACGCUGAGGCGCGACAGCGUGGGGAGCAAACAGG